rnacentral:tRNA from 1 species
GGUGGCUCAGUGGUAGAGUGCUUGCCUUGUAUGCAUGAGUCCCUGGGUUCAAUUCCUCAGUACCA